rnacentral:rRNA from 1 species
GAUGAACGCUGGCGGCGUGCCUAAUACAUGCAAGUCGUACGGAAAGGCCCUUCGGGGUACUCGAGUGGCGGACGGCUGAGUAACGCGUGGGAACGUGCCCCAAAGUGAGGGAUAACGCACCGAAAGGGGUGCUAAUACCGCAUAUGGCCUUCGGAUUAAAGCUUCGGCGCUUUGGGAGCGGCCCGCGUACGAUUAGAUAGUUGGUGAGGUAAUGGCUCACCAAGUCGACGAUCGUUAGCUGGUCUGAGAGGAUGAUCAGCCAGACUGGGACUGAGACACGGCCCAGACUCCUACGGGAGGCAGCAGUAAGGGAUCUUCCACAAUGGGGGCAACCCUGAUGGAGCAACGCCGCGUGCAGGAUGAAGGUUUUCGGAUCGUAAACUGCUUUUAUAAGUGAAGAAUAUGACGGUAACUUAUGAAUAAGGAUCGGCUAAUUACGUGCCAGCCGCCGCGGUAA